UUGGUAGGAGCGAUUGAGGGACGGAUAGAGAAGUGAGAUUCACAGUGGUGAGCGAAGAAGAUGAAUGAUUGAGGGUGAGAGAGAAUGGUUGAUAGAGAAGAUGAGUUUGAGGGAGCGUGAACAAAUGAAUGUUUCGUUACUGUUCCUCCCACCUUUCCUUCAUUUAUUUUAUUUUUACAAAACCAGCAUUAAAACCAUUAAAAAAAAUUGUUUAUGUUUAGUCUUCUAUUUUUUAUUAAAUGGUAUAUAUUGGUAUAUUUGUUUUCCCAAUUCAUAAUCCAUUGGAAAACCCAACAGCCAGGCGGCUAGGUUUUAUUUCUUG
rnacentral:lncRNA from 1 species